CCUACGGGAGGCAGCAGUGAGGAAUAUUGGUCAAUGGGCGCGAGCCUGAACCAGCCAAGUAGCGUGAAGGAUGACUGCCCUCCGGGUUGUAAACUUCUUUUAUAAAGGAAUAAAGUGAGGCAUGUGUGCCUUUUUGUCUGUCCUUUAUGAUUAAGGCUCGGCUAACUCCGUGCCAGCAGCCGCGGUAAUACGGAGGAUCCGAGCGUUAUCCGGAUUUAUUGGGGUUAAAGGGCGCGUAGAUGGGUUGUUAAGUCAGUUGUGAAAGUUUGCGGCUCAACCGUAAAAUUGCAAUUGAUACUGGCAGUCUUGAGUACAGUUGAGGUAGGCGGAAUUCGUGGUGUAGCGGUGAAAUGCGUAGAUAUCACGAAGAACUCCGAUUGCGAAGGCAGCUUACUAAACUGCCACUGACAUUGAUGCUCGAAAGUGUGGGUAGCAAACAGGAUUAGAUACCCCUGUAGUC
rnacentral:rRNA from 1 species